rnacentral:rRNA from 1 species
AUUGAACGCUGGCGGCAUGCCUUACACAUGCAAGUCGAACGGCAGCGGGGACUUCGGUCCGCCGGCGAGUGGCGAACGGGUGAGUAAUGUAUCGGAACGUACCAUUCAGUGGGGGAUAACUAUCCGAAAGGAUAGCUAACACCGCAUAUUCUGUGAGCAGGAAAGCAGGGGAUCGCAAGACCUUGCGUUGAUUGAGCGGCCGAUAUCAGAUUAGCUAGUUGGUGAGGUAAAGGCUCACCAAGGCGACGAUCUGUAGCGGGUCUGAGAGGAUGAUCCGCCACACUGGAACUGAGACACGGUCCAGACUCCUACGGGAGGCAGCAGUGGGGAAUUUUGGACAAUGGGGGCAACCCUGAUCCAGCCAUGCCGCGUGAGUGAAGAAGGCCUUCGGGUUGUAAAGCUCUUUCGGCCGGGAAAAAAUCGCAUGGGUUAAUACCCUGUGUGGAUGAUGGUACCGGAAUAAGAAGCACCGGCUAACUACGUGCCAGCCGCCGCAGUAAGAC